CCUACGGGUGGCAGCAGUAGGGAAUCUUUCACAAUGGGCGAAAGCCUGAUGGAGCAACGCCGCGUGCAGGAUGAAGGCCUUCGGGUUGUAAACUGCUUUUAUCAGCGAGAAAUAUGAUGGUAACUUAUGAAUAAGGAUCGGCUAACUACGUGCCAGCAGCCGCGGUCAUACGUAGGAUCCGAGCAUUAUCCGGAGUGACUGGGUGUAAAGAGUUGCGUAGGUGGCAUAAUAAGUAGCUAGUGAAAUCUGGUGGCUCAACCAUUCAGACUAUUAGCUAAACUGUUAAGCUCGAGACCGUUAGGGGUAACUGGAAUUUCUAGUGUAGGAGUGAAAUCCGUAGAUAUUAGAAGGAACACCAAUAGCGUAGGCAGGUUGCUGGGACGGGUCUGACACUAAGGCACGAAAGCGUAGGGAGCAAACGGGAUUAGAUACCCGUGUAGUC
rnacentral:rRNA from 1 species